CCUGGGAUGCAAGAGUUGGACUGUCUGAGUUUAUAAGAGAAUUUAUCUUCUCAGCUUCUUUAUUGCAGGCUUCAAUCUAAACAAAGGAAAGACUCCAUGGCGCUCCUACCUCAUAGGACCCUACUCCUAUAAAUGUUUAGGCCGAGCCAGAGGUUGCCUUCCUUUUUUGUCCUCCUCACUCAUAGGACUUCAUGUAUAAAGUUUUCCUACCUUUUGGAGGUAUUGGCGACUGGGUUUCAUGCGGGACAGCUGUGCAGAUAUUAGGAGUGCCCUUUGG